CCAGGGAAACCCAGGGAAGCCCGUUCUGUAUGGGAACGGUGUUGUGAGGACAGGACUUGCGUCAGGAGAUAAGACUGCAGAGUGGGGGAGGGUCAGGUCCAGAAGGACCUCAACUGCCGUGGAGGAGAUUCAGAUUUUUAUCUUGCAGGUACUGGGGGGAGACUUUGAAGGAUUUUCAGCCGACAUGAUCAGACUUGCCUUUCAGAAGAAUAUUCUAAGGGCUGUAAAGGGUGAUCAGGGCAUCAGGGCAAGAAGACCCACUAGGAAAUGGCUACUGGGUUGAACCAUAUAAAACCCUUUUUGUUUAGGUCAGAACAUGGCCAAAUGUCAUCAGUUUGGUCCGGGUGAGAGAUGACCCCAGCCCAAGCGGAGGCAGCAGUAAAGGAGGUAUUUAGGAAUUCUGACGCAGUAGGACCUUAGGGUUUCUUUGAUGACAGAGGAAAGAACAGAGCCUGUGCCUGGAGUAGGAACAGGUAUGAGGUGAAUUUUGGAACGAGAAGAUUUCCUUCAACCAUAAAUCCGCAGCUGAGCCUGGUGGAGUCAGUCCUUUGGGGACGGCGACACGGAGAAAGAGUCACCUUUCCUAUUUAUUUUAUACCUUAUCACAGUUGCAAGGAAUAGUGUUCUGCAAGACUUCACUGACAGUCUUUACCACAUACUGGCAAUAGACGGGGGCUUUUGUGAGUUUCUAAAACGUUUUAAUGUGUGGUCUAACCUUAGCAGCUAAGGGGAGAAGACCUUCACUGCAUCCCACUUGGCCACAUGGGCAGAACACACAGUGACCGGCCCCCCGUGUACAACGGCCCCUUCUGAUCUCAUGGGCUGCGGCCGGCAGUCAGACUCAGCACUGGCUUCCGAGGUGAGCCACGGGUGACAGGUGUUCUUACGCAUCAUGGCUUUGGUUUCUCAAGAUACGGGAUUUGUUUUGGAACUCUGGAGAACCACCGAAGAGGCUCUCCCUGUGUAGAAUUAAAACGCAGAUUGGGAGAGCAAGCAGGACUCAGGACUCAGCGACUGAGAGGCCAUCCUGAGAAGAUUCAGAAAGGCGUGGGGGCCUCCACUCCCCCCCUCACAAUAAGUGAAACUGUGCCAAGCCACAAAGCUGCAGAUGGGUAAAAACCUGGGCUCUAGAACCUCACAGACUCACACUUGAUAGCUGACCUGGUUUUAGAUAAGAGAUGGCUUGGUUACUAAAUGGGAACUAAAUGAAAUAAGGUGCCUUCUGAUAUGAUGUGGUAAAAUGGACACAUCACUCACGCGGCCUUCCUGACAAAGGCGCACGGGCGACAUUCAAUCCUAAAGAAACAGCUGGGCGAGCCCACGGGGGGCCGUUACUGUUCAACUGUGUCGUUGCCGGAAAGGAAAGUGAAACAGAGGGAAAGUUCCAGAUUACGGGAGACAAAAGAGAUGUGACAUCGAAAUGCAAUGCUUGAUCUUGGAUUGGAUCCUGGAUUAUUAAAAGUUUCUAGAAAGGACAAUAUUGGGACAGCUGGCAAAUUUUGACUAUGUGUUAUCAGUUAGAGAAUAGCGUUAUAAAAUGUUAACUUGCCUGAAGGUGAUCAUGUCUCUGUGGCUGCGUAAAAGACUUCCUUGCUUUUAGGAGAUACACGGUGCAGUUUUUAGGGCUGAGGGCUUGUCAUCUGUGUAAUUUACUCUUGGGUGGUUCAGGAAGAAUGAGAAUAAGAAAUCACGAGGGCGGGUGACUAUACUUAGCAAUACUCUGUUGUUACUUGAAAGUUGCUAAGAGAAUAGAUCUUAAAAGUUCUCACACAAAAAAGGUAACUAUGUGAAGGAUGUGUUAAUGAACUUUACAGUAGUGAUCAUUUCCAAAUAUAUAUGUGUAUCAAAUCGUCGCAUUGUACACCUUACAUUUUCACAGUGUUACACGUCAACUACACCUCAAGCUGAAAAAUAAACAAGUGCCCCAAAUAUUGGGGAUCUUAUUAUGCAAUAUAUAAAUACAUAGAGAGAGGUAGAGCGAACGUAACAAAUGUUAACACUAAAUAAAUCUAGGUGACGUGUGUAAGAAAGUCUAUUGUAACUUUCUCAUAACUCCUGUGUCCUUGAAUUAUUUUUUCCCAAAUAAAAAGUUUAAUUAAAGAAAAAACGAAUGAUCCUGCCCAGGACACCCAUGUAGCACCAGACAUCUUCGUAGAACGGAAACUUGAAAAAAAAUGUGUUGUGCAAAAUUGUCUUUGAAGAAUAUGGCUGUGGUUGGAAAAAAUGCUUGGACUGAUGCAGAGAGGUGAGGUUCCCACAGGCCGGCUGAAGGAUCAACGGACAGUUCCUGUCAGCGUUUAGCCUGUUAGGGGAGGCCCUCUUCUCUUUCCCUGUCAACUUCUUCAUCUCUCUUCUAAAUAAAAACUGAAUACAUAUUUUCUAAAUGUUGAAAGAAGAA